rnacentral:rRNA from 1 species
UACGUAGGGUGCAAGCGUUGUCCGGAAUUAUUGGGCGUAAAGAGCUCGUAGGCGGCUUGUUGCGUCGGCUGUGAAAACCCGCAGCUCAACUGUGGGCCUGCAUUCGAUACGGGCUGACUAGAGUUCGGUAGGGGAGACUGGAAUUCCUGGUGUAGCGGUGAAAUGCGCAGAUAUCAGGAGGAACACCGGUGGCGAAGGCGGGUCUCUGGGCCGAUACUGACGCUGAGGAGCGAAAGCGUGGGGAGCAAACAGG